AGGGCUUUACGUGGGGUGCUGGAGGGCUCCAGACAGGGGUCCUAACAAAGUGUAGUAUCUGUUCUUAUCAGUUUAAUAUCUGAUAAGCCCCCCUAUCUGGGGGCCAUAUAUUAAAUGGAUUUUCAGAACAGGGAGAUGGAAGAAGAGCUUGCUCUGUCCACUCCACACAUUGACCUGGUAUUGCAGUACCUCCAGGACCGGUGCACAAAAA
rnacentral:snRNA from 1 species